rnacentral:lncRNA from 1 species
CUUGAACAAAACUGGUUAUUACACAAGUGUUCUGUCUUAAAAUAUGUGGGGUUAUUUCAGGCAUUCUCAUUUACCACAUAAAUCUGCAACAUUUUUAGAUCAAAUUACAUGAAAUUUGAUGUGCUGCCAUUGUGCGUAAUGGAUUAGGAAAAUGUUGCAGUACUCAGAGACAAAAAGUGAUGGUCUAGAGAAGAUGAGCUCAGAUUGAAGUGUUUGCUCAUAAUUUUUGAAUGGGGUGAAUCUCAUGACCACAACAAUGUCCACCAGUAAAUCUGCCGCCAGAAGAGCAAUUCUACAGACCUCCAGGACUAGAUGGAACAGGACGGAUAACUUUGAUAUUGUUCCUGUUAUCAAUUCAGACACAAGCAAGUGUGAUGGAGACAACGUAGAGCGCUGGCUUACGGCAAUCUCCAAGUAA